rnacentral:lncRNA from 1 species
GGUGUCCCUACGGUAUUCUAGCCACCCUCUGUGGAGCUUGACCUUGUAGUUUCAAUACAAUUUCUCAAUCUUCUGCAGUUGGACAUCUCGAGCCCUCUCAUAAUGUGGGAAGUCGUACCUCUUUUGUACAAAUUUAUCAGAAGUUAGUUACAAAAUUAUUCUAAUCGAACAUAAUGUAAAUAUAUCACAUGUACAUAUAUAAUUGAGAUACACUUAUCCAAAUCUCUUCCCACACU